rnacentral:rRNA from 1 species
UACUCCUACGGGAGGCAGCAGGGGGGAAUAUUGCACAAUGGGGGAAACCCUGAUGCAGCGACGCCGCGUGAGCGAUGAAGGUCUUCGGAUCGUAAAGCUCUGUCCUAAGGGACGAUAAUGACGGUACCUUAGGAGGAAGCCCCGGCUAACUACGUGCCAGCAGCCGCGGUAAUA